rnacentral:rRNA from 1 species
GACGAACGCUGGCGGCGUGCUUAACACAUGCAAGUCGAACGGAAAGGCCCUGCUUUUGUGGGGUGCUCGAGUGGCGAACGGGUGAGUAACACGUGAGUAACCUGCCCUUGACUUUGGGAUAACUCCAGGAAACUGGGGCUAAUACCGGAUAGGAGCUCCUGCUGCAUGGUGGGGGUUGGAAAGUUUCGGCGGUUGGGGAUGGACUCGCGGCUUAUCAGCUUGUUGGUGGGGUAGUGGCUUACCAAGGCUUUGACGGGUAGCCGGCCUGAGAGGGUGACCGGCCACAUUGGGACUGAGAUACGGCCCAGACUACUACGGGAGGCAGCAGUGGGGAAUAUUGCACAAUGGGCGGAAGCCUGAUGCAGCAACGCCGCGUGCGGGAUGACGGCCUUCGGGUUGUAAACCGCUUUCGCCUGUGACGAAGCGUGAGUGACGGUAAUGGGUAAAGAAGCACCGGCUAACUACGUG